rnacentral:lncRNA from 1 species
GGACUUUUGGGAUAGCAUUGAAAAUGUAAACGAGGAAAUUACCUAAUAAAAAUAAAUUUAAAAAAAAGAAAAUAUAACUUUAAUUGUUAUUUAAAAUAUAAAGAUCUCUACCAAUGUAAGAUGGCUAUAAAAUGCUUUUGUUUAAGAGUAAAUUUAAUAAUACAUUCCUAUUUGUCUAAUUUCUUAUAAUAUUACUGUAUACCCCUUGUUAUGUUUCAAACCCCUUUCACAUAUCUAAGAAAAAAAGAAGGAUAGAGAAGAGGAAAGAUGGACAUCCCUGAGUUUAAGCCCUCUAUUUUAGUUACCUCCCUGUCUAAAACUAUAAUUAUUUGUAAAUCAGCCCUUAAAGUAACAACAUAUCUAUAUUUCAGAAUGUAACCAAAAUCAUCUGCCCCAACUCAAGGUUUUGGGGUGAUAAUGCUAUUAUAAUUGCUUCUUGUUGAAUUGGGGCAAAAAGUUUCUGUUUGGGGGACCAAAAGGAAAUUGAAAACCUCGUUAAAUCUAAAGAACCUAGCUGGGAUUAUUUAUUGUCCAUUCUCUAUGUGCUGAGAAAGUGCAGGGCUUAAUUUAAGUACUGACUGGAACAAUCUGUAGAGCUAGAUGAACAAAUGGCAUUUGGAAUCAGCAGUCCUUUUUGAAGUUGUUCUAGAAGCAAGUCUCUGGAAACAGUAUCAGUUUGAAGCAGGAUCAGUAAGAGAGAUGGAGCAACAGGUUUGUACAUCUCAGCAUCCUCAAGGGCAAAUCCUAUCAGGGUUUCCCUCUUGAUGUUUCAUUGAGUAAUAUAUAAAUCUCACAAGCAAUGCACAUAGUUCUAUAAAGACAUCUGUAUGGGAUGUUCAGGGUGCACAGAUCAAUUCAGAAUGAUUUCCUGUCCUUCGUUUGAGCAGGUGAAAGGCAACUGUCUGUCUUUAGAGUUAGUUUGAUCAUAUAAUCAAACUGUAAUAUAAAUCUCCAUUCAUGCCAUAUGAGAGGAUGGCAUGGUGAAUCUGGAGGACUCUGUAGCCAACAAGAGCCAUUGGCUGUGCAAGGCUGAAGUUCUGGCUAGAGACAUUUUUUAUGUCUCAGCCAGUUUAGGGCUGUUCCCAUGUAGAGUGAUCAGCAAAUCAUGUUACUUGUCCUAUUUAUUCUUGAUUUAUAUCUGUAGCCAAGAUCUUCAGGAGGUCUUCCUCUAUCAAAUUUGAUCCUUAUUAUGUUGAAAGGAGUCCAAAGUCUUUUUUCUUUCCUGUUAACACAAAUACAAAGUCUCUCUCCCAAAAUAGCAUCUCCUUGAUCCAGCAACCUGAAGUCAUCAAAAGUAUAGAUUCAUUUAAUUUAGCAGCCUUUUUUUAUUUAGGUCUGGUCUAUUUUGACCUCUUUCAUAGAGGAUUUGUGAUUCCAUUAUUACCACCUUUAUUUUGAUAAUUAAAACAAUUAAAAUAAUUAAAGCAAUUUAAAGCAACAAUUGUUACUUAUUGACACGGUGUUUCUCUGUGUAGCCUAGGCUGACUUGGAUUUGCAAUAUAGGUAGGCUAGCCACAAGCUCACAAGAAACCUACUCGCCUUUGCCUUUGAAUCUGAAGUAUUGAGAUCAAAGUUCUGGAUUUAUUUAUCUAUGAAUCUUUAAAAUUAUUUAUAUGUGUAUGUGUGGUGGAACCAGGAGGUCGGCAAGGCUAGAAUGUAAAUAAAUAAAAAUAAUUUUUAAAAAUUAUUAAUAUUUAUAUUAAUUCUCAUUUCUUCCUAUGGACACAUAUAUUUAUAUUCCCUUUCUCUUUUUAUAAAUUAAUAUCCUUCUUUAUAUUCAACUUCAUUUAAGUUCUCUCCUAUUUCUGUAUACGUCAUCAUAUAUGUGUCAUGUGAUAGCCCAAACAGUCUUAGUAUUUCUGUGGAGAUCACAUUGAAAGAAACCAGCUACUUAAUGUAGGAAUGGCAUCUUAAUUUAUGUUAUUUUUUAUAAUUUUUUGAUUGCAUGGGGCAUGCAGCCUUGCUCUUUGUGGAGCAGAACUUUUGCUUGCUUCAUUGCCCAGCAGUGCCUCUUAGCAUCAACAUGACUGGUGUUUGAGUCUGCCAGUUUAUAGUACAAGGGUUCUGAUACCUGGUGUGCUUUGUUUCAUUUUGAGGGCCCACAUCUGUGUUCUAGCUCAUACUGUGAAACUCAGAAACAUUUACCUCAAAUCGGCAUGUACUCUAGCCCCACUCCCAAACUCUGUGAAGCUUGGAGAAAAACUUAUUUUGCUAAGGAACCAAUUCUCCCCUCUCCAUAGUCUUAAAGGGGCAGCAAAUGUUUUUUAUUUGUGAAUGUGAAAUUAACUUUUAAAGUAAGUUUUUGCCCAAUGGUGGGUGCCAACAUGUUAUAGAAAAUAUUUAAUCUACCAAAAUAAACUGUGUGCUAAACAGUUUUGUGUUAAGUUGACCCAAAUUAGAGUUCUCUGAGAGCAGGAACCUCUGUUAAGAAAAGAUCUCCAUAAGAUUACAUCGUACAUAGGCCUGUAAAGUAAUUUUUUCUUUGGAGGGCCUAUCCAUCUCAUUUUGGGAGGUACCAUGAGGGGUUAGCAGUUCUGGAUUCCAAAAUAAAAGAAGCUGAGUAAGCCAUGAAGCAGGACUCUUCUAUAGCCACUGUAACAACACCUGCCUCCAGAUUCCUGCCUUGCUUGAGUUUCUGCCCUGGCUUUUUGCAAUGAUAGAAUAUAAUGUGAAAGUGUAAGCCAAAUAAACCCUUUCUUCC